GGUACAUCGGUGACAGGUGGUGCAUGGUUGUCGUCAGCUCGUGUCGUGAGAUGUUGGUUAAGUCCCGCAACGAGCGCAACCCCUAUUGUUAGUUGCCAUCAUUCAGUUUGGGCACUCUAGCGAGACUGCCGGUAAUAAACCGGAGGAAGUGGGAUGACGUCAAAUCAUCAUGCCCCUUAUGACCUGGGCUACACACGUGCUACAAUGGUUGGUACAACGAGUUGCGAGUCGGUGACGGCGAGCUAAUCUCUUAAAGCCAAAUCUCAGUUCGGAUUGUAGGCUGCAACUCGCCUACAUGAAGUCGGAAUCGCUAGUAAUCGCGGAUCAGCACGCCGCGGUGAAUACGUUCCCGGGCCUU
rnacentral:rRNA from 1 species